CUCCAGAGUUCCAAGGGGGGUCAGUGUAAAACGGCCUUCUGUCCGUAACGUGUCGGCACUUUCGAUGUCUUAUUCAGGCAUCGCGUUUCCAUAUCGAAUAAUCCAAAGGAUACGAUAUUAACACAUUUAUCCGUGUACGAUAUUUAAUUGUUUGUAUUAUUAAAAAAAAAAAAAAAAAAAAAAAAAAAAAAAAAAAGAAAAGAAAGAGAAAAAAAGAAAAAACCAAAACAAGAAGAAGAAAUUUCUUUUAUCCUUCGCCAUCUAACAAGGACCAAAGGGAAAUCUCGUUCUUUUUUUUUUUUUUUUUUUUCUUUGGUUCUUCUGCGAAUAAUUCUUCUUCCCUUCGUUCAUUUUCGAGAUACAUACGCCGAAAGAAUAUAUAUACAACAUCGAAGAUCUUCGAUCUAAGGGAGAUCUUUUAGAAGGAAGGAAAGCGAUUGAUUUUGAUAAAGGUUUAUCCUUCGAGUCCGGUUAAUGGCUGUCACGGUCGUCGGCUAGGGGCCAGGCGUCUGAGGAAGUUUCCAGGCUGUCAGAGCAAAAAUACAGCUUGUACCCGAUGAGUGUUAGAUUGGCAGGUGGUCAUAUGGUGAAGCAGAGGAGGUUUAUCGGGAACACAAACAACAAGAUGAUCAAUAUACGGGAACAUUUAUAGGCCCUACGAUAUUAGUGAAAUAUAUAUCAAACGAAGAAAAUCAAGUAUUUUCGAAUCGAAAGAAGGGGAAAGGUUUUUUUAGGUGACCUUCCUGAAUGUGGCGGAUCCGAAGGUCAAUUUUAGUUGAUGAAGAAGUGUCACGUUACGAAUGUAUUAGGGUGCUCUUGUUUGUGAGGUGCUAAAAAGAAGGUUAUUAAUUCAAGAUAGAAAAAGGAAAAAAGGAAAAGGGAAGGAUAAGAGAAAAGUGAGACAAGAGAAAAGCAAGGUGAUAACCGAGAGAGGAAGGAAGAACGAUAUAUAAAUGCGUCGGUUGAUGCAUCUGGCAUAAUUUACUUGCCCCCCCUUUUGCCCUUGCUUCUUCACGAGAUACAUUUUUUCUUUUUUUAAAUCUUUAUUUUCUUUCUUAUUAAAAAGAUUUUCAGCUGUCCGUCCUAACGGAUUCUCUCUGUUUUUUUUCCCCCCUCUCCGUUUCUCUCUCUCUCUAUAUCUCUCCUCCCCCGCCCCUUCCUUCCUCUAUUUUUAUAUUAUUUCUUUUUUAUUUCUCAUUUUCUUUUUUUUUUCUUUUUUUUUUUUUUUUGUUUCCUUUAUCUCCUUUAUUACUAGAAAAAGAUUUUCUUGUGAUUAUUUACACGCAAGGGACGAUGUACGAUGGAUAAGCCAAAGUAAUCGAGUGAUAUUUUUUUAUCGAUAUACAUUAUUCGUUCUUAUUUCUACUUUUUGAGAGAUAGAUAGAUAGAUAGAUAGAAAAUAGUUAAAUAGAUCGUUAGAUAGAUAGACAGACAGACAGACAGACAGAC